rnacentral:rRNA from 1 species
CCCUUAGAUGUCCUGGGCCGCACGCGCGUUACACUGAUGCAUUCAACGAGCUUAUAACCUUGGCCGAGAGGCCUGGGCAAUCUUGUUAACGUGCAUCGUGAUAGGGAUAGAUUAUUGAAAUUAUUAAUCUUGAACGAGGAAUUCCUAGUAAACGCAGAUCAUCAAUCUGCAUUGAUUACGUCCCUGCCCUUUGUACACACCGCCCGUCGCUCCUACCGAUUGAAUGUUCCGGUGAGCUCUUCGGACUGCGCGGUCUGCAGUUUCUGCGUUCCGUGCGGAAAGUUGCGCAAACCUUAACAUUUAGAGGAAGGAGAAGUCGUAACA